rnacentral:lncRNA from 1 species
UGUCUUGGCUCACGAACCGCUUCCACUCCGAGAGGACUUGUCUUAUGAAGAAGUACCGGUCAGUAUCACGGACCGAGAAAGUAGAAUACUCCGCAACCGGGAAAUAUCAUUUGUAAAAGUCAUGUGACAGAACCACACGCCCAAGGAGGCGACUUGGGAACUGGAAUAAGAAUUUAGGGCCCAAUAUCCCCAUCUGUUUGAUCAAGAAUAAUGAGGCAAAUUUGGGGACCAAAUUUCUUUAUGGGGGGAGAGUUGUAGCGCCCGGACCGAGAAGGAGGAAAAAAAAGGGCCACGUUGGCGAUCCGCAUGGGCGCGAUCGGACGGCCCAGAUCAAGCGUGCGAUCGGACG